rnacentral:rRNA from 1 species
UUUUAUAAUUAAUUUAAUUAAGAUUAUUUAAAAAUAAAAAUUAAAAUUUAAUUAAUUAUUUUGUUGGGGUGACAAAAAAAUAUAAUUAACUUUUUUUAAUAUUUAUCCAUUUAUAAGUGAUUAAAUGAUCCAAUAUUAUUGAU